ensembl:lncRNA
CCCACACCCUCUCUUUCCCACCUCCCCCCCUGCUCUUCUUCCCCGAUCGAUGCAAUAUCAUUAGGGCGAGAGGCAUUGGGGCAGCGCUCGGGGGGCCCGAACCGCUGCCGGUACCGGGGGGGUCCCGUAAGGCGUCGCUCCGUCCCCACCGACCCGACCCGGCAGCGCUCCGAAGCCGCGGGGGUGGGCGCGGGGUUCGGUGCCCCAUCUCGGAGCCGGUUCCUCUCCCCUUCUUCCCAUCCAUUCGACAGCUGGAUGCUAUUGAUCCUUUCCCUCUCCUCCUUUUUUCCUUUUUUUUUUUCCCUUCCCGAGCUCCCUCUCCUCUCCCUUUAAUUCCCUCCGUUCCUCCGGAGGAGCCGCCCGGUGCCGGGGAACCCGAAAGGCAAAACGACGCGGCCCCAAAUAAGAGGCGGAGGAGCACCUGCGGGUGAGAUUUAUGGCAUCCAGCGAACAGGCGAUCAACUUCCUUAAAGUUCUUGAAGGCUUCCAAACAACAGCCCCAUCGCCUGGCAGGUGAAUUACUCAGUGCCUAUGGAUUCCUCGCGAGCCCUUUCAUUCCGGUCCCAAAUCUUUCCCAGCCCACCCUUUGCCUAUGGAUGUCUCGAUUUUACAACAAUCAAGCGGGAGGCGAAGAGCGUGGCAAUUUCUGCUAAUCGAUUUUCCAUACAAUGGGCCCCAGAUGAUGUUUUAAAAUGUGAGAAACUCAAAUGUGUUGGUUUAAAUAAGACUUUUGCAAUCGAUAGCCUUUAAAAAAAAGGAGACUUUGAUACCGCAUCUGGAAGGGGAUUUCGAACGCUUUCGCUUCCCGAACAAAACAAGGCAGGAAAAUCCUAAAUAAUAAUCAUAAUAGCAAUAAAGAAACCAGAAGUUCCUCCCGGCUUUGGAGUUCUUAAAGAGGAAUAUGGGGAAAAUGCGCUCCGGGGCGCUCAGCUCCGUCCCGCCCCGAAGCUCCGCAACCCCCGCAGAGCAGCGCAAAAGCCGCGCAAAAAGCCACGCAGCUCCGCCCGGAGCCGCGCAGCCCCUCCUGCGCUCUCACCCAAAUCCUCUCCCUCUGGUUUUGUUUCGGGACGGUUUUCCUCCCCCCGAUGUCACCGCGCUGCGUUCGGCUUUCGGGCGUUGCGGGGAGGAGUGGGGCGGUGGGGCCGGGGGGACCUUCAGCCUUUUCC